UUGCGAAAUAAGACGAACAUUUAUAUUCAUUGUGUGCAACAUUAUUUAAUAGUAGAAUACAAUUUCUAACGUCUGCUGUAAUACCUAAAUUUUGCCUGGCCUUAGCCCAAAUAUUAAAACCCAAAUAAAUAAAUAAAUAAAACCAAAUUCAAAGUCUAUUUACAAAUAACAUCAGUCUAGAUAGUUAACCAAAACCCCUAGCCCAAACCUAACCUAAGCCUAAUUAGCCCAAUCUCCAAACCCGGUUACAAACCCAAAUACCCCUGCCCAAUUACAGCCCAAAACGGAAACAGAAACCCUAGGGUUUCUGACAGCUUACAGCGCCGCAGCCACCAAGGCCUUCGUCCCCAUGUGUCGAGCCUUUGCCCUCGCGUGCGCCUUCGCAUGUGCGCCACCGCUACGUGCCACGCCUCCAUGCGCUGCGUCGAGCCACGCAUGCCUCCGUACGGCCACCUCCGUACUUCCAGGCUGGCCGAGUACCUGUAAAAAAACACACACGGAAACAACAGCAAAUAGAAAAACAACAGCAUAGGGGUGAAUUUUUUAAUUAUUUUUUUCAUUUUAUUUUCUGUAAAUCGGGCUAUAAGAAAGCCAUUCGAACACUGUAAAAUAUUUACACAUUCAAUAUACAAAAUUGAAAAUACAAAAGAAUAAAAAACAAAAAGGUGAUUUUCUGCGUUUUUAUUCCUUUCUAUCUUGCUGGUUACUUAAUUCUUUUCUUUUUUUUUCUUUUUCUAGUUCGUACAUUCAUCAAUUGUUGUUUAAAAGAGAAAUAGGAAAGAGAAAGGGAGGGAAAACGUACCUGAAGGCCGGAUUUUUUCCCUCUCCGCAGCCAUCAGAGUUGAGGCGAAGAUUGGAGGUCUUCGGAGGCGAUGAAUCGUCAGAACGGCGCAGAGAACACUUGUUCUCUUUAGGUUUUUCUGAAAUGAAAAUGCUUAGGAUUUUAGUGUUUUAAACCCAGGACUAAAACGUCGCCGUUUGUUG
rnacentral:lncRNA from 1 species